rnacentral:lncRNA from 1 species
GGAAUGCACACUACUUGCCACAUGGUGGCACUUCUUUUCCAUAACCCUUAGGGGUAUGGAACGUCAAGCAUCGGGACGUUAAACAAGCGCUGGUUGGGAGGCAACCCAACGGUUUCUAAUGUUUUAGUUUGUGUUGUUUUGAAGUAUGUAGGUAGGUGUGCAGCAGAAGCAAGGACGGAAGCAAAACAGGGCAGACCAGAAUUCUACUACGCCGGGGGCG